CUUUUAUGGAGAGUUUGAUCCUGGCUCAGGACGAACGCUGGCGGCGUGCUUAACACAUGCAAGUCGAACGAGACGGAUUGAAAGCUUGCUUUUGAAAAGUCGAGUGGCAAACGGGUGAGUAACG
rnacentral:rRNA from 1 species